CCUACGGGAGGCAGCAGUAGGGAAUCUUGCGCAAUGGGCGAAAGCCUGACGCAGCCAUGCCGCGUGAAUGAUGAAGGUCUUAGGAUUGUAAAAUUCUUUCACCGGGGAAGAUAAUGACGGUACCCGGAGAAGAAGCCCCGGCUAACUUCGUGCCAGCAGCCGCGGUAAUACGAAGGGGGCUAGCGUUGCUCGGAAUUACUGGGCGUAAAGGGCGCGUAGGCGGAUAGUUUAGUCAGAGGUAAAAGCCCAGGGCUCAACCUUGGAACUGCCUUUGAUACUGGCUAUCUUGAGUUCGGGAGAGGUGAGUGGAAUGCCGAGUGUAGAGGUGAAAUUCGUAGAUAUUCGGCGGAACACCAGUGGCGAAGGCGACUCACUGGCCCGAUACUGACGCUGAGGCGCGAAAGCGUGGGGAGCAAACAGGAUUAGAUACCCUGGUAGUCCACGCUGUAAACGAUGAGUGCUAGUUGUCGGCAUGCAUGCAUGUCGGUGACGCAGCUAACGCAUUAAGCACUCCGCCUGGGGAGUACGGUCGCAAGAUUAAAACUCAAAGGAAUUGACGG
rnacentral:rRNA from 2 species